rnacentral:rRNA from 1 species
AGAGUUUGAUCCUGGCUCAGGAUGAACGCUAGCGAUAGGCCUAACACAUGCAAGUCGAGGGGCAGCACGGGAGUAGCAAUACAACUGGUGGCGACCGGCGCACGGGUGAGUAACGCGUAUGUAAUCUACCUACAACAGGGGGGGAUAACCCGGAGAAAUCCGGACUAAUACCGCAUAAAACAGGGGGGUCCCGCCUGGGACUAUUUGUUAAAGAUUUAUCGGUUGUAGAUGAGCAUGCGUUCCAUUAGAUAGUUGGUAAGGUAACGGCUUACCAAGUCAGCGAUGGAUAGGGGGGGAACUGAGAGGUUUGUCCCCCACACUGGAACUGAGACACGGACCAGACUCCUACGGGAGGCAGCAGUGAGGAAUAUUGGUCAAUGGGCGAGAGCCUGAACCAGCCAAAUCGCGUGAAGGAAGACUGCCUUAUGGGUUGUAAACUUCUUUUACAGGGGGGGAAUAAAAAGACAUACGAGUAUGUCAUUGCAUGUACCCUGUGAAUAAGCAUCGGCUAACUCCGUGCCAGCAGCCGCGGUAAUACGGAGGAUGCGAGCGUUAUCCGGAUUUAUUGGGUUUAAAGGGUGCGCAGGCGGGAUUUUAAGUCAGCGGUGAAAUACCAACGCUCAACGUUGGAACUGCCGUUGAAACUGGGAUUCUUGAGUAUAGAUGAAGUAGGCGGAAUUCGUUGUGUAGCGGUGACAUGCAUAGAUAUAACGAGGAACUCCGAUUGCGUAGGCAGCUUACUAAACUAUAACUGACGCUCAAGCACGAAAGCGUGGGGGGGAUCAAACAGGAUUAGAUACCCUGGUAGUCCACGCCGUAAACGAUGAUUACUAGUUGUAUGCGAUAUGAUAGUAUGUGACUAAGCGAAAGCGAUAAGUAAUCCACCUGGGGGGGAGUACGCCGGCAACGGUGAAACUCAAAGGAAUUGACGGGGGGGGCCCGCACAAGCGGAGGAACAUGUGGUUUAAUUCGAUGAUACGCGAGGAACCUUACCCGGGCUUGAAAUGCAAUCGACGAUCUAUGAAAGUAGAUUUCCAGCAAUGGCGAUUGUGUAGGUGCUGCAUGGUUGUCGUCAGCUCGUGCCGUGAGGUGUCGGCUUAAGUGCCAUAACGAGCGCAACCCACAUCAUUAGUUACUAACAGGUCAAGCUGAGGACUCUAAUGAGACUGCGGCGUAAGCUGCGAGGAAGGUGUGGAUGACGUCAAAUCAGCACGGCCCUUACGUCCGGGGCGACACACGUGUUACAAUGGGUGGUACAAAGGGCAGCUACUGGGCGACCAGAUGCUAAUCUCCAAAGCCACUCCCAGUUCGGAUCGGAGUCUGCAACUCGACUCCGUGAAGCUGGAUUCGCUAGUAAUCGCGCAUCAGCCAUGGCGCGGUGAAUACGUUCCCGGGCCUUGUACACACCGCCCGUCAAGCCAUGGAAGCCGGGGGGGACCUGAAGUACGUAACCGUUGAGGAGCGUCCUAGGGUAAAACUGGUGACUGGGGCUAAGUCGUAACAAGGUAGCCGUACCGGAAGGUGCGGCUG